rnacentral:rRNA from 1 species
GGGGAAUAUUGCACAAUGGGGGAAACCCUGAUGCAGCCAUGCCGCGUGUAUGAAGAAGGCCUUCGGGUUGUAAAGUACUUUCAGUUGUGAGGAAGGCGUUGGAGUUAAUAGCUUCAGCGUUUGACGUUAGCAACAGAAGAAGCACCGGCUAACUCCGUGCCAGCAGCCGCGGUAAUACGGAGGGUGCGAGCGUUAAUCGGAAUUACUGGGCGUAAAGCGCAUGCAGGCGGUCUGUUAAGCAAGAUGUGAAAGCCCGGGGCUCAACCUCGGAACAGCAUUUUGAACUGGCAGACUAGAGUCUUGUAGAGGGGGGUAGAAUUUCAGGUGUAGCGGUGAAAUGCGUAGAGAUCUGAAGGAAUACCGGUGGCGAAGGCGGCCCCCUGGACAAAGACUGACGCUCAGAUGCGAAAGCGUGGGGAGCAAACA